UGUACGCUUGCUUACCUUUUUUACUAAAUAGUUGGGGUGAGAUAUCCCUGCUUUAAUAAAUGGUCUACUUCACAUUGUAGUAAUCUACAAUCUGCCAUUUUAUGACCAUGAUCUUUAUGAAACUCACACCAGUGAUCAGGGUUACGCCUAUUUGGAUUCGAUCUCAUUUUUGUUAGAAUAUAUGCUCUUCACUAGAGGGGGGGUGAAUAGUGAGGCACGAGAAUGUAGGUAAAAUUUUGAGGAAUUGAAAUUGCAGGAGUAAAGU
rnacentral:lncRNA from 1 species